ACCCACCAAUGCAGACUCUCCUUCCUUUUGUUCACAACAACUUGAUGACUGCAGAGAGAUUCACACUCACGUUUGGAUAUCAGCACUUCAGAGCUUGAUCUUUUUUUGCACGGCAUCAUGUUCUGGCUGUUGUUGCUGGCUGGAUACUGCGGGCUUGCUUUGGUCAAUAACUCAGUGGCCCAAAAACCUGCACUGCAGAUCAUCCAGAAGCCCCGGUAUUAUGGUGCGAUAACGGGCUUCCCUUUGAGUAUUCAGUGUCUGGUCACAGGGUCAGUCAAGUACCAGUGGUACUGGGCUGCUCAGCACAAUGCAAGCAACAAAGAGCCACUGCCAGGACGAAGGGAGAAUAUUCAGACGGUCGAGAAUACUCUCCACAUCUUAAAUCUGCGCCUAGAGGACAGCGGAGUGUACUUCUGCAAAGCAAACGAUACAUGGGGACCAGGGACUGGGGUUAAAGUUGCCAGAAACAUUACUGUAACACAGGUUCAGUACAGGACCAAGCUGAAGGAUGGUCUCAUGAUCUUCCAGGGCCUCCUGCUGGCCGUGUGCAUUGCUGCUCUGCUGCUACGCAAGCAAGACCUGUUGGAAAACACGGACAGCAUAUACGAGGAGCCUGAAACAGAUCACAUCUAUGAGGGUUUGGCGAUCGAGACAUGUGGAGGGGGCCUGUAUGAGGAACUCUCUGUGUACGCACAGGUUGAUGGAGCCGAGGCGCCGUGGGAAUGAGACUAAACUACACAUCACCUCCCAACCUUUACAACCGCACAACAACUUACUUUUUACAGGAGUGAAGGCCGUCAGCCUGCCGGCUCACAACGCCCAGAAAGCUGUCCACAGUUUUCUCCUCCCAUGAUGCAGAGCUGUGAUUCUGAUUGAGCAGGGUCUCCAUCUCAUUCAGAACCUGGACUGUGAAGCUGAGUUUAUCCACCGCCUGCAACAAGAAGAAGAACCAUCAGGAGAUAAAGACACAAGAAGAAGUAUGGGUAACAUUUGUGUCGCUUUUUGACACAACAUCAGAAUAAAAAUAUGAGGAGAAAAAAUCAGUGUUCAUCUUGAUAUAUUUGAAAUGUAAAGUUAACAUUAGUAUGUGACUUACAGCUGCUUUGUCCGCCUGGCUGUACAGCUCAUGAGGGAAGCUCACAGUGUGCUUCACUUCAGCAUCCUCAGUGCUGUUAGUGGAGUUAUGAGCCUGAAACACACACACACAUAAACACACACACAUUACAUAAUGAAUCACACACUCAGUAUAAAGUCAGUCAGUGGAGAUCUUUCUCAACAGCAUCCUGUGAAGGUCACUCACCAUGGUGUCCAGGAGAUCCAAAGAGGUUUUACUGAACUGUCUGAAUUUAUGAUCCAUCCAUUUGCAGCUCAGCGGGGAGCCUGCACUGAACACACCGAGGAACACACACACACACAAAAUCCUGCCGAGCAUUUUGAAAGAGUCUCAAAGUUUUCUUUUGUCUCUGUCUGAAUCAGAUUGGGAUGUCUCCUGUUGUUCUGUCAGAGCAUACCUGCACAGCUUCAUUUAUAGUGGAGCAGGAAGAUUUUCGUUUUCCAGUUAACCUGUGGCAAGCAAACGUGGACUGCGGCUUUCACGCGCACAGGUGUAUUGUCACACAUUUCGUCUUUCAGUUAUAGUCUCCUGACGAAACAUAUUUUUCCCACGCUAAAAGCAUAAACACGAUCGAUACGUUCUCCACGAAACAGCUUCCUAUAGUUAAGGAAACAAUAGGAAUGUGUAUUCUACAUCUACAUGUUGCAAUUUUUUUAGGCCAGCUUAUGAAUAAAAUAUGAUGCAACGAA